rnacentral:rRNA from 1 species
UACGUAGGUGGCAAGCGUUAUCCGGAAUUACUGGGUGUAAAGGGAGCGCAGGCGGGAUAGCAAGUCAGCUGUGAAAACUAUGGGCUCAACCCAUAAACUGCAGUUGAAACUGUUAUUCUUGAGUGGAGUAGAGGCAAGCGGAAUUCCGAGUGUAGCGGUGAAAUGCGUAGAUAUUCGGAGGAACACCAGUGGCGAAGGCGGCUUGCUGGGCUCUAACUGACGCUGAGGCUCGAAAGUGUGGGGAGCAAACAGGAUUAGAUACCCUGGUAGUCCACACUGUAAACGAUGAUUGCUAGGUGUGGGGGGUCUGACCCCCUCCGUGCCGGAGUUAACGCAAUAAGCAAUCCACCUGGGGAGUACGGCCGCAAGGUUGAA